rnacentral:rRNA from 1 species
AGCGAACAUUGGCGGUAGGCUUAACACAUGCAAGUCGAGCGAGGCGUAAUAGUCGAGCGGCGAACGGGUGAGUAAUACUUGGGAAUCUGCCCUGAAGUGGGGGAUAACGUCCAGAAAUGGACGCUAAUACCGCAUAAUCCAUAUCGGGAAAGCGCGCUGCGCUUUAGGAUGAGCCCAAGUCUGAUUAGCUAGUUGGCGGGGUAAAGGCCCACCAAGGCGACGAUCAGUAGCUGGUCUGAGAGGAUGAUCAGCCACACUGGAACUGAGACACGGUCCAGACUCCUACGGGAGGCAGCAGUGGGGGAAUCUUGCGCAAUGGGGGCAACCCUGACGCAGCCAUACCGCGUGUGUGAUGAAGGUCUUCGGAUUGUAAAAGCACUUUUCAGCGGGGGACGACAAUGACGGUACCCGCAGAAGAAGUCACGGCUAACUUCGUGCCAGCAGCCGCGG